rnacentral:rRNA from 1 species
AUUGAACGCUGGCGGCAGGCCUAACACAUGCAAGUCGAGCGAGCGGCGGACGGGUGAGUAAUGUAUGGGGACUGCCCGAUAGAGGGGGAUAACUACUGGAAACGGUGGCUAAUACCGCAUACUAUCGGAUAACCCAUAUGGGAUUAGCUAGUAGGUGGGGUAAAGGCUCACCUAGGCGACGCUCCCUAGCUGGUCUGAGAGGAUGAUCAGCGACACUGGGACUGAGAGACGGCCCAGACUCCUAAGGAGGCAGCAGUGGGAGAUAUUGCACAAUUGGCACAAGCCUGAUGAAGCCAUGCCGGGUGUAUGAAGAAGGCCUUAGGGUUGUUAAGUACGUUCAGCGGGGAGGCGUUACCCGCAGAAGAAGCACCGGCUAACUCCGUGCCAGCAGCCGCGGUAAUUC